UAACACAUGCAAGUCGAACGCGAAAGCCCCGAAAGGGGUGAGUAGAGUGGCAAACGGGUGAGUAACGCGUGGGUGACCUGCCUUCGAGCGGGGGAUAACGUUCCGAAAGGGACGCUAAUACCGCAUAACAUCCUGCCUUUUAAGAGGUGGAGAUCAAAGCUGGGGAUCGCAAGACCUAGCACUGGAAGAGGGGCCCGCGUCUGAUUAGCUAGUUGGUGAGGUAACGGCCCACCAAGGCGACGAUCAGUAUCCGGCCUGAGAGGGCGGACGGACACACUGGGACUGAGACACGGCCCAGACUCCUACGGGAGGCAGCAGUGGGGAAUUGUUCGCAAUGGGCGCAAGCCUGACGACGCAACGCCGCGUGGAGGAUGAAGACCUUCGGGUCGUAAACUCCUUUCGAUCGAGACGAACGGCUUCCGGGUGAACAAUCCGGAAGAGUGACGGUACCGAGAGAAGAAGCCCCGGCUAACUCCGUGCCAGCAGCCGCGGUAAUACGGGGGGGGCAAGCGUUGUUCGGAAUUACUGGGCGUAAAGGGCUCGUAGGUGGCCAACUAAGUCAGACGUGAAAUCCCUCGGCUUAACCGGGGAACUGCGUCUGAUACUGGAUGGCUUGAGAUUGGGAGAGGGAUGCGGAAUUCCAGGUGUAGCGGUGAAAUGCGUAGAUAUCUGGAGGAACACCGGUGGCGAAGGCG
rnacentral:rRNA from 1 species